UAUUAAAAAUUCCAUUCAUUUAUAUUGUUAAAAACUGACGUAGUAGAUGAAAUAACCAGAUUGUUACACCCAAAUAGUUACACCUAAUGUGCCAAGUGUAACUUAUGUUCAUGUGUAGAAACCAGUUUUUAAUAGUAAAAAUAGAUAUAAUUUUUAAUA
rnacentral:pre_miRNA from 1 species